GACGAACGCUGGCGGCGUGCCUAAUACAUGCAAGUAGAACGCAGUUGCGAACGGGGGAGUAACGCGUAGGUAACUGCCUCAUAGCGGGGGAUAACUCUUGGAAACGAUAGCUAAAACCGCAUAAUGUGAGAUGGACCUGAGUUGUAUUAGCUAGUUGGUGAGGUAAAGGCUCACCAAGGCGACGAUACAUAGCCUGGCUGAGAGGGUGAUCGGCCACACUGGGACUGAGACCCGGCCCAGAAUCCUACGGGAGGCAGCAGUAGGGAAUCUUCGGCAAUGGACGGAAGUCUGACCGAGCAACGCCGCGUGAGUGAAGAAGGUUUUCGGGUUGUAAAGCUCUGUUGUUAGAGAAGCGGUACCUAAACAGAAAGGGACGGCUAACUACGUGCCAGCAGCCGCGGUAAUAC
rnacentral:rRNA from 1 species